AUGCAGCUCACAAGCAGAACAUUAUGUGAAAUACUUCAGGCACCCAAAAGCAUGUGCUUUAGAAUUCCAUUGCUAUGACGUACAAGAGCAGGCAAAGCUAAUCUACAUUGCUAAAAGUCAGAAGAGAGGUAACGUUGGUCCAGGAGGGAUGAGUGGCCGGAAGUGGGCAUUGAGAGCUGUCGAGAUGCUGGCUGAUUAAAGUGAUGUCAGUGGGCUUAUUAACAACAGUAUCUGUUGGGUCUUCAAGUCAUCAAGAUGAAGUCUUGCUUUGUCACCCAGCCUGGAGUGCAGUGGUGUGAUCCUGGGUCAUUGCAACCUCCGCUACCUGAGUUCAAGCAAUUCUCCCACCUCAGCCUCCUGAGUAGCUGGGAUCGCAGGAGGCUGAGGUGGGUGCAUACCACCAA